rnacentral:rRNA from 1 species
AUAUCAAUAAGCGGAGGAAAAGAAACCAACAGGGAUUGCCCCGGUAACGGCGAGUGAAGCGGCAACAGCUCAAAUUUGGAAUCUGGCCCUCUCCGGGGUCCGAGUUGUAAUUUGCAGAGGAUGCUUCGGCGUYGGCCCCGGGUCAAGUCCCCUGGAACGAGGCGCCCUGGAGGGUGAGAGCCCCGUACUCACCCGGGUGUCCUUCGCCGUGCGAAGCUCCUUYGACGAGUCGAGUUGUUUGGGAAUGCAGCUCUAAGCGGGAGGUAUAUUUCUUCCAAAGCUAAAUACCGGCCAGAGACCGAUAGCGCACAAGUAGAGUGAUCGAAAGAUGAAAAGCACUUUGGAAAGAGAGUGAAAAAGCACGUGAAAUUGUUGAAAGGGAAGCUCUUGCCGUCAGACUUGCCGCGGUUGCUCAGCCGCCCCCCCUCGGGACGGUGCACUCUUCCGUCGGCAGGCCAGCGUCGGUUCGGGCGACCGGAUAAAGGCCCCGGGAAUGUGGCAUCCUCCGGGGUGUGUUAUAGCCCGGGGUGCAAUGCGGUCAGCCCGGUCCGAGGCACGCGUUCGCGAGGACGCUGGCGUAAUGGCCGCAAGCGACCCGUCUUGAAACACGGACCAAGGAGUCUAACAUCCGUGCGAGUGUUUGGGUCUCAAACCCACGCGCGCAAUGAAAGUGAACGGGGGGUGGGAACCCCCUCGAGGGGUGCACCAUCGACCGAUCCCGAUGUCUUCGGACGGAUUUGAGUAAGAGCAUGGCUGUUGGGACCCGAAAGAUGGUGAACUAUUCCCGGAUAGGGUGAGGCCAGAGGAAACUCUGGUGGAGGCUCGCAGCGGUUCUGACGUGCAAAUCGAUCGUCAAAUCUGGGAAUAGGGGCGAAAGACUAAUCGAACCAU